rnacentral:rRNA from 1 species
CCUACGGGUGGCAGCAGUAGGGAAUAUUGCUCAAUGGUGGAAACCCUGAAGCAGCAACGCCGCGUGGAGGAUGAAGGUUUUCGGAUUGUAAACUCCCUUUGUUAGAGAAGAUAAUGACGGUAUCUAACGAAUAAGCACCGGCUAACUCCGUGCCAGCAGCCGCGGUAAGACGGAGGGUGCAAGCGUUACUCGGAAUCACUGGGCGUAAAGAGCGCGUAGGCGGGAUAGCAAGUCAGAUGUGAAAUCCUAUGGCUUAACCUUAGAACUGCAUUUGAAACUGUUAUUCUAGAGUAUGGGAGAGGUAGGUGGAAUGCUUGGUGUAGGGGUAAAAUGCGUAGAGAUCAAGAAGAAUACUCAUUGCGAAGGCAACCUGCUAGAACAUAACUGACGCUGAUGCGCGAAAGCGUGGGGAGCGAACAGGAUUAGAUACCCUAGUAGUC